GGUAGGACUCUCGGCAACGGAUAUCUCGGCUCUUGCAUCGACGAAGAACAUAGCGAAAUAAGAUACGUGGUGUGAAUUGCAGAAUCCUGCGAACCAUCGAGUCUCUGAAUGCAAGUUGCGCCCGAGGCCAUCCGACCGAGGGCACGCCUGCCUGGGCGUCACGC
rnacentral:rRNA from 1 species